GUAAGGCGACAUUCAAUUUUGUUUUUAAAGAAAAGAGUAGAAGCUUUACAGGUUGAGGUGGAGGCAGAGAGGAAAGAUUGGAUGUCUAUACAGAGGGUAGGACACACAAAAACCAAGAAGGGCACGGCCAGCGUGGGGCAGGGAAAGAAUCUGUCUGGGAAUGUGGCGCGGCUGUGGGAGGGUGAAACUCAGACUCACUUGGGUCCUGGUGGGGGCUCUCAGCUGAAGCUUGGAUGCACUCCUGUGAGCAAGGGAGAGUCAGCAGAACCUGUGACCAGGGUGGUGGCAUCUGUGGAUCUUUCUGAAGAAAACCCAGGGGGAGAGAGAGGGAACUCAGGUGGAGAUGUGGGUGGGGACAUUCAGGACCUCGGGGAGCCACUGAGUGCCAAGGGAAGAGCUGGAAGGCCAUGGGGAGGGAGGUCAGUUCUGAAACAGUUGAGGUGGAAUCCAGACCCGGCCUGGCAGGCUCAGGAUCCAGGACUUGGAAGAUGGAGGAGGCUCGUUGUGCAGAAGGAAUAACAUUGUGCUGCCGACCCUGUGCCUUCUCCAUCAGCCUCUUACUGAGGUUUGGAAGCCACAAUAAAAUGCAAAUCGGUGGAAGCUUGAAAUUCCCAGUGUUGCCACAAAUGGAGGAUUGCGGUGAUUGUUGAACACAAGUUGAAGAACUCAACUCUAUUGCAAAUAAAAAGACAUCAGCCACAGUGAACCCAGAUAGGGUUCACUUGGUUCACAACCAAGGAUGACAAAUCUGCCAGAGUGGGCACUGUGCCCUGGC
rnacentral:lncRNA from 1 species